UACGUAGGGACCGAGCGUUGUCCGGAAUCAUUGGGCGUAAAGGGCGCGUAGGCGGCUAGAUGUGUCAAAGGUGAAAUCCCUCGGCUCAACUGAGGAACUGCCUUUGAAACUGUCUGGCUUGAGGCCGGGAGAGGGUAGCGGAAUUCCCAGUGUAGCGGUGAAAUGCGUAGAUAUUCGCAAGAACACCAGUGGCGAAGGCAGCUCACUGGCCCGUUACUGACGCUGAGGCACGAAAGCGUGGGGAGCAAACAGG
rnacentral:rRNA from 1 species